rnacentral:rRNA from 1 species
AGCAGUCGCCGCGGUAAUACAGAGGGUGCGAGCGUUAAUCGGAUUUACUGGGCGUAAAGCGUGCGUAGGCGGCUUUUUAAGUCGGAUGUGAAAUCCCUGAGCUUAACUUAGGAAUUGCAUUCGAUACUGGGAAGCUAGAGUAUGGGAGAGGAUGGUAGAAUUCCAGGUGUAGCGGUGAAAUGCGUAGAGAUCUGGAGGAAUACCGAUGGCGAAGGCAGCCAUCUGUCCUAAUACUGACGCUGAGGUACGAAAGCAUGGGGAGCAAACAGGAUUAGAGACCCCGGUAGUCCCUGUCUCUUAUAC